rnacentral:rRNA from 1 species
UACGUAGGGUGCAAGCGUUAUCCGGAUUUACUGGGUGUAAAGGGCGAGUAGACGGUUGUUUAAGUCAGAUGUGAAAUCUAGGGGCUCAACCCCAAGACUGCAUCUGAAACUAAAUUACUAGAGUGUAGGAGAGGAAAAUGGAAUUCCUAGUGUAGCGGUGAAAUGCGUAGAUAUUAGGAGGAACACCAGUGGCGAAGGCGAUUUUCUGGACUAUAACUGACGUUGAGGAGCGAAAGUGUGGGGAGCAAACAGG